GUCUAUUUUACUCAUUCUAGGUUUGGUUGACACACACAAACACAUCGCCUCUCUCGGUGCUCUGCUCGUACACAGCCAUCGGCUGCUGCUCCCUCACCGCUCGCCUCACACACACACGACCGUCAGUUGCUGCUCCCUCACACAGCCAUCGCCUCUCUCCGUCUUCCUCACCCUCACCGCUCGCUCGUUCCUCCCUCACCGCCGAUUCAAAGUUUGAAGGAUCUUCAAGUUUUCACAGGUCGUGUUAUCUUCCAACUUGCUGAAGAUAUUCCUUGCAUAUCUGCUGUUGUUGUUGCUCUACUUUCUGAGAGAGAGAGAGAGAGAGAGAGAGAGAGUUACAACUUAACAAGAAGAAGAACUAGAAGAAGCUUGAAGUUUGUUUUGAAUUCUCAUAAAUCAUCAAAUAAGAGUAAUGCUUGAUAUGUUGGAACAAAGUGUCACUAGUUUUUGUUUUCAAUGAUUAUCGUUGCAAGAAGGGCAAUUACAUGGAGGAUCAGCUAAGUGCAUUGCCAAAUGAAAUUAUCAUUGCCAUCUUGACAAUGAAAGAAGCAGCAAGAACUAGUGUGCUUUCCCUUAAAUGGAAAAAUUUGUGGAAGUUUUUCACGGGUAGUUUGAAUUUUGAUGCUUCCAAGACAAAGGCCAGCAUGAGACAAGAAAUAGAAACAAUGUCACUUGAAACUGAAAGGACUAAGUAUGUAAGUUGAGUAAACAAAGUCUUCAAUUUGGAUCAGGGCCAAAAUAUAGAAAAGUUUAGAGCGUGCUUUGAUUUGGAUAAGAAUUUUGCAUGUGUCAUUGAUAGAUGAAUUAACUUUGCGAAAGAAAAAAGAGUUCAAAAGCUUGAGUUCGACCUGAGAGGAUAUUUUGACUAUUCUCAGUUUGAGGAUUCAUGCACUUUUCCAUUAAGCCCAUUUGGUGUUCUAAGCUUUAAUACCUUGACUUCCCUCUGCUCGAAAUUGGUAGAUUUGACAGAAGACGUUCUUGCACAUUUCUUAUCUAAUUGUCCGUUGAUUGAAGAGUUGUCUUUGAUGCAUUCACGAUCUUUGGUUAAUCUAAAAAUAGAUGGUCCUCAGAAGUUGAAGUACUUGGAGCUUAGGUACUGUUUCAGUUUACAAAAUCUUGAGAUUUUGGCUACAAAUCUCAUAUCAUUUAAAUACCAUGGGCCAUACAUGAUCAACAAUCCUGUUAAGAAUGUUCCCCUGCUGUCUGAAGUAUCCAUUGGGGGUUGUUACUGUACGGAUUUAGUUUGUUUAACAUUUUACUGUUUCUCAGGUGUGCUCUCUCAGCUGGAGACACUUGUACUGGACCUGGAUUCUCUGGUUUCCCAGAGAAGUCACCUCAUCCCCAACAUAUUUCCAGAAUUUUGUAAUCUUAAGCGGUUGGAAUUGUAAGCUGUUGCAUAUGAAGACCAAAGCAUCCCAUUCCUCACUUCCUUGAUAGAUGCAUUGUAUAAGUUUGUGGUGAAGGUGAAUCUUCUUAAUCUAAAUGGCUUUUCAUUUAAGAACACUUGGAUUAUUGUUUAUUUGGUCAAAUGAUGCAAAUUACAAUGUUUGUUGUGUUCAUAUGAGUACUUGUACAUGUUUUAGCUCCCAUUCAUUUGUAUGAGAUCAGUCUUGUAAUUUGACUAUGUAAUCACGCAGUUAUUAUAUUAUAACUAGUGGUUGAUCUA